GAUCCAGACUCCUACGGGAGGCAGCAGUGAGGAAUAUUGGUCAAUGGCCGAGAGGCUGAACCAGCCAAGUCGCGUGAGGGAAGACGGCCCUACGGGUUGUAAACCUCUUUUGUCAGGGAGCAACGCCGGCUACGUGUAGCCGGACUGAGAGUACCUGAAGAAAAAGCAUCGGCUAACUCCGUGCCAGCAGCCGCGGUAAUACGGAGGAUGCGAGCGUUAUCCGGAUUUAUUGGGUUUAAAGGGUGCGUAGGCGGAACAUUAAGUCAGCGGUAAAAUCGAGGGGCUCAACCCCUUUAAGCCGUUGAAACUGGUGAUCUUGAGUGGGCGAGAAGUAUGCGGAAUGCGUGGUGUAGCGGUGAAAUGCAUAGAUAUCGCGCAGUACCCCGAUUGCGAAGGCAGCGUGCCGUGCCGCCACUGACGCUGAGGCACGAAAGCGCGGGGAUCGAACAGGAUUAGAUACCCGAGUAC
rnacentral:rRNA from 1 species